GGCUGGACGGAUGGUUUCCUUCCCUUGGGGGGACAAAAUGGGACAGAAUGUCAGAAUCCAUUUUCAGGUGUAAGGUGAUGGGUUUUCUCCAAGGAUAAUAAAGAUAAUUUGAUGAUCAUCAAUUAUGUGUUCUUCGACAACAAAUCCGUGUCUAAUUCUUAUGUCUGCAAAUCUUUGCUGCAUGUCAAGUUUUAUUUAUGUAAAGAUCAUGUUUCACGUCUUUGCAAGCUCUGACAACAGGAUUCCUAACAGGGAACAAAUGAAUCAUGAUUAUAUCAACCCACAUCCAACCCUACCGUUAAGACAGAGUGCUUUGGCUGCAAUGUUACACCCUGAAACCCAUUUGGCAAACAAUUACACAAAAGCUGCCCAUCAUCUAAAAUAAACCAGGACCAUUUAUUAAUUGUGAAUUACACUUUACUGGCAAUGUUAUAAGGAACUAAUCCUGUUACUGAAUUUUGUCUGAUAUACACAAUUCUUCAGAAUUUAUCAAGAGAACACUGCUCCACUGAAAUUCAAUUUCAUUCAAACCCUUCUCACUGAUGUCUGAAAUCAGAGAAAAUUAGUGUCAUGCUUACACCAAUGGUUGCUGUUUUUGCAUAUGAACAUACGUUGUAUACCUAGACCUUCCUAGGUAGUGUACCGCUCAUGGUAGAUUCCAGAGAAUAAUAGUAAAUGUUCUAUACUUACAUACCAUUCCAUGUAUCCAAAGUUCGAUAAAACUGACCACAAUUAUCAAUUCGCAGGUUUGUGACAUUUAAAAGCAAUUACACACGAGGUAAAAUGGUCAAAAUUUGGAGUCUUCUGGACUAAUGGGGUACAUAUAAUCUCGAACUUCACAUACGUUCACUCACUGCAGUAACAAAUAAACUACAACAGAGUCUCGCAAACUAACGUUGCUGUCGUUGCUGUUACGGUUGCACAGCAUGGCCAAGUAAGGUUACGUCAUCGCAAGUUUGUGCGUAUACCAUUACAUCAUCAUUACUUAGUUUACGAGAGUCCAUUUAUUUGCCGGUGGGAAAUUAAAACAUAUUGUUGUUCUAAAUCGAAAGAAAUACAGUGCAGAGUGCCUCAGGGCUCUGUAUUAGGCCCAGUGCUCUUUUUACUAUAUGUAAAUGACUUACCAGAAAUUAUAUCUGACCUAUCCAAACCAAUAUUAUUUGCAGAUGAUACAAGUAUCCUUAUCUUUGAUAAGAAUCCUGCGAAAUUUAAAAUCAGAAUAAAUAAAUUAUUUGAGAUGAUAAAUGAAUGGUUUAGGAAAAA